UUGAACGCUGGCGGCAUGCCUUACACAUGCAAGUCGAACGGUAGAGGGGCAACCCUUGAGAGUGGCGAACGGGUGAGUAAUGCAUCGGAACGUGCCCAGUCGUGGGGGAUAACGCAGCGAAAGCUGUGCUAAUACCGCAUGUGAUCUGUGGAUGAAAGCAGGGGACCGCAAGGCCUUGUGCGAUUGGAGCGGCCGAUGUCAGAUUAGCUAGUUGGUAGGGUAAAAGCCUACCAAGGCGACGAUCUGUAG
rnacentral:rRNA from 1 species